GGCUCUCGGCGGAAGGCCUUCUGGGAGUCGUAGUCCUGCGGCCGCCCGGCCUAGCCCGGUCGCUCGGGCCCACUAAACACUGCUCCGCCCCGCGGUGGGACCGAGGUUUCUGCCCUCCGCGGCCUGGGCCGCAGCCCGGCCCGGCCUGCCGUCGCCCUGCAGCCCUGUCCAACGCCGGGUUAACGUCUGGACUCACAGCCAACCGAGACACCAGAGGGAGAGCGGUCUAACCAAAUAGCUGGUUAAACCACAAAACACAGACAUAAAAAUCACGUCUGACUAGAAUACGGUUUUAUACCCCGCUUUUAUUACGAGGAAUUCAUUUAAGAGUAAAAUUCUGUCUCGAUGACUUCUUGUUUGCUGAUCGCGAUGCGCCCGCGGCCUUCCGUAAGCGCCGGGUGGACGCCGCGCACCCUCGCGCAGGCCUGCGCGGGCAGGGCUGGCAGCGGCACAGCAGGGCGAGGCGUGCGGAGGGCGGCGCGGCCCGCCUGGGCAUAACGUGCGGGAGCCUCGCCUCCGCUGCCGAAGAAAGAUCAAGUCAAUUGAGAGAAAGCCAAAGAAGAAUCGUAUGCAUUAAAGCUGCCUCAGGAGAAUAGUAACUGUUUUAACAUACUUGUCAACAAGUGUUGCAAUACCAUCUUCAAAUGUUGCUUGCUUAUGCAGGGUAUUGAACAGGAAUCACAGCUCCCUGGAUAUAAUGAAAACAGUGAAGCCAGGGAAGUGAUUUUAUAAUCAAGAUUGUCAGACAGUUUCAUUAUACAUUUAGUUUUGUUAUCUAUCUAUCAACUUGUUUUCAGCAUGAAUUUUGAAUGACUAGUCCUGAGGGAUUUUUUUCUCAGAAGAGAUGAAAGUCAGUCCGCUAUCUCUUUGCAAGUUAAAGGACAUGAACAGAGUGCCUGGAUAUUAUGGUACUUCCAUGGUUUCUUCCAAACAUGUAAGAAGURGUGAGUGUGGAUGGAUCGUUCCCCAGGGAAUCGGCUUAGUCUGAUUAGAACUCUGCACAAAUUCCGCUUGCAUGUCAGCCAGAAGCACUCAAACCAGCUGCAGCCACAACAAAAUUCAAGUCAAUUGCAUCUUCAUCGUGAUCUCCUGCAUCUGUGUUUACGACAGUAUAAAAUAAAGGAGGAAGCACCUUUGAGUGUUUUGGCUGAAUGCCGCAAGGCUUGAGCUUUCUGGCUCUGCUCUGGGCUCUCUAACCUGUUCUUGCAAUGCUGAGGGGAAGGGCAGCUGAUUAUGAAAGAGUUUCUCCAGCAGCAAGGAGUCCACGCUAGUGAGCAACCUCUGAACAUAUCUGAGCAGGUCUGUUGCUCUAACUUGGGAGGUCCAAAAGGUAGGAAAGAGUCACGUAAUUUGUAGUCCAUACUCCAAAUCCUGAGAUCUGCAAAAUAAGCCAGAUGGUCUAGCAUUGAUUGCUAUACCAAAACCGUGAAACACAACCUCUGGAGCAUGGGAGCAUACCCUUGUCCAGGUUUGUAAAGGUAUUUAAGCACCCAAAGAUGCCGACAGACACCUAAUAGGAUUUAUAAAAGUGCCUGAGGGAGUUUGGGACCUAAUUCCCAUUGGCUGUCAAUGGGAAUUAGAUGUGUAAUCUACUUAGGCAAUUUGAAAAUCCCACUGGCUGUAUCUUUUCACGACUAAGUACCAUUACAAGCCUUAGCCUUAAUGAAUAGAAUUAUUAUUAUACUUGGUUUCAUUUCCUAAAACACUGAUACUGGCAUGAAGGCUCGGAGGCAGCUUCCCUAGGAAAAACUGCCUGCCUCCAAGCAUGGAUGGGUGCKGUGGAUGUGAAGUUUCAGGAAGGAAUAACUGAGCUACUGCAACAGUCUUUAUAUCAGCAUUGUGGCUGCAACUAGCCCAGAGAGCUCUCAAASGGUUUUGUGUAUUGGUCAGUUUGGUUUUAAUGUGUGUUACGUAAAAAAUGUGAGUGACUUGGUGAAGGGAAAAUCCUGCUCACCCACAGCAAAGUAAUAAAGAAAACAGAAAUCGUAAGUGCCCGGAGGCU
rnacentral:lncRNA from 1 species